CAAGGUGAUUUUCAGUGACAGGUUUAUGAUGUGCGUAUGGAUGUUACAGAAGCAGCUGUCCAAAGUGAAUGGAGAGCCUCAUCAAAAACUGCAUGUUAUCUUCUACAGAAGGGAAUUUAACUUCCAGUGAUAUGCUCCACGGAUGCACAAAAUGAUCCAUCUUUGCACAUGAAGAACCUUUUAUGAUCUCUUCAAAGCUUCCACUGCGGUAGGUAGUUACUUGGGAGCUGCCAUGCGUAACAAAUACCGUGUCAAAUAUUUAUUGGCACAAUGUUGUGUGAGACAAAGUAAUGCAUUUCCUCUCCCAGACUUGGCCCUCUCCAUCUUCACGACGUUACGUAGCUGUUCAUAUGGUUCUCUCCUCCUUCUCCAGCAUGUCUCCUUCGUUUGAUGGAAGCAGAAAAGUGGUGAUCCUUUCUGGGAGGAUGAAGACCAUGUUGGGCUGUAUCUGGGAAAGAACCUGGGCUUUAGGCACACGCUGCCCUGUCAGUUGGUUUGGCUGAGGACUGAUGUUCUCAUGUCACCCUCGUUCAGAGCUCAUCAUGUACAGCACCUGCCAUGAGACUCAGCAUCAUAAAGAGUCUUCUCAACCUCUUCAUCUGUAAGGGUUGUGGUCUGCAGCAGGUCUGUGUCCUCCUUGUAGUUGUACUUCAUCUCAGUGAAGGUCCAUCCAACUAAGGCAUAAAACCCUUCAGUGGUCUGGAGACUGCAGAUUGACUUCUUCUGAAGUAUGUUAUCCGGAGACACUUGUAGAACGAUUUAUAAUCUGCUAAGGACUGUAUGAAGUUCCAAAAAGGUCUGAAGAUCUUUUUCCUCCUUGAAAUCACUCACAGAUUACCUGGGAGGAUUUUCCAACAGUCCUUUGACAUUGAUGACACAGGAGAGAUUACCUCCCAACAACUAUUCUCAGUUUUGGUCCACCUGCUCCCCUGGAAGUGACCAGCAGCUAGAUCCAAUUUCUGAGAGUGCAGGGAGCUUUUGAAAAUCCCGCUUUGAAUAUGACAAGAGCACUCAUCUCUGGCAGAAUCUCCUAGGAAACACUGAUUGUACAAAGCCAUGCCACCAAAUAGAUGCAGACAUGCACACUGCCAAGCCCAUCCUGUGGUUUUCUGCCUCAUUUUUCUCUCUACUCCCGUUUUCAGCAAUUCUGCACAGCCAGAUAGAAACAUCUCUUUCUUAUGAUGGUGUCAAGCUGCACCUUUGUGCCCAGGAGGAGCCAAGUGAGUCUCUUAGCCUGGUGGAUCUCAUAAACUUGGCGGUGGCUUUCAAUGUUUUCUCCAUUUCUUCAUCUGCAAGGAUUCUGAUUUCCACCAGAUCCAUGUUAUCCUUAUAAUUGUACUUUAUCUCAGUAAGUUUCCACCCAACGAGCGCCCGGACCCCAUCGGCAGUCUGCAGGCUG